GUUUUGCUUUUGCGGUAUGUGGUGUUACAUCGCGUUGAAGAUGUUGAGAAUAUUGAGAAUGUUCGAGAGCAUGUACAUUUAUCCGCCCAAGAUAUAUACAACCAUUUGAUCACGAGUGACAAAGAAGAAGAAAAUGGGCGAGCUUUUAUUGAAACAAUAGACUUUGUAAGUCUUAAUGGAUGUGUUUUAGAAUCAUCGUGUCCUUACUUGGGGAGAUUUUGUACAGCUGAAAUCUAUCGCAGGGGAGACAAAUCUUGUGAUUGGAGAAGAAGUACUCAUCUCAGUCCUAUUAGAAAUCAAAAAGAUGGCAGUUGUUGUUUUGCUUUUGCGGUAUGUGGUGUUACAUCGCGUUGAAGAUGUUGAGAAUAUUGAGAAUGUUCGAGAGCAUGUACAUUUAUCCGCCCAAGAUAUAUACAACCAUUUGAUCACGAGUGACAAAGAAGAAGAAAAUGGGCGAUCUUUUAUUGAAACAAUAGACUUUGUAAGUCUUAAUGGAUGUGUUUUAGAAUCAUCGUGUCCUUA